rnacentral:rRNA from 1 species
AGAGUUUGUUCCUGGCUCAGAACGAACGCUGGCGGCGUGGAUAAGACAUGCAAGUCGAACGAGAGAAUUGCUAGCUUGCUAAUAAUUCUCUAGUGGCGCACGGGUGAGUAACACGUGAGUAACCUGCCCCCGAGAGCGGGAUAGCCCUGGGAAACUGGGAUUAAUACCGCAUAGUAUCGAAAGAUUAAAGCAGCAAUGCGCUUGGGGAUGGGCUCGCGGCCUAUUAGUUAGUUGGUGAGGUAACGGCUCACCAAGGCGAUGACGGGUAGCCGGUCUGAGAGGAUGUCCGGCCACACUGGAACUGAGACACGGUCCAGACACCUACGGGUGGCAGCAGUCGAGAAUCAUUCACAAUGGGGGAAACCCUGAUGGUGUGACGCCGCGUGGGGGAAUGAAGGUCUUCGGAUUGUAAACCCCUGUCAUGUGGGAGCAAAUUAAAAAGAUAGUACCACAAGAGGAAGAGACGGCUAACUCUGUGCCAGCAGCCGCGGUAAUACAGAGGUCUCAAGCGUUGUUCGGAAUCACUGGGCGUAAAGCGUGCGUAGGCUGUUUCGUAAGUCGUGUGUGAAAGGCGCGGGCUCAACCCGCGGACGGCACAUGAUACUGCGAGACUAGAGUAAUGGAGGGGGAACCGGAAUUCUCGGUGUAGCAGUGAAAUGCGUAGAUAUCGAGAGGAACACUCGUGGCGAAGGCGGGUUCCUGGACAUUAACUGACGCUGAGGCACGAAGGCCAGGGGAGCGAAAGGGAUUAGAUACCCCUGUAGUCCUGGCAGUAAACGGUGCACGCUUGGUGUGCGGGGAAUCGACCCCCUGCGUGCCGGAGCUAACGCGUUAAGCGUGCCGCCUGGGGAGUACGGUCGCAAGAUUAAAACUCAAAGAAAUUGACGGGGACCCGCACAAGCGGUGGAGUAUGUGGCUUAAUUCGAUGCAACGCGAAGAACCUUACCUGGGCUUGACAUGUAAUGAACAACAUGUGAAAGCAUGCGACUCUUCGGAGGCGUUACACAGGUGCUGCAUGGCCGUCGUCAGCUCGUGUCGUGAGAUGUUUGGUUAAGUCCAGCAACGAGCGCAACCCCUGUUGCCAGUUACCAGCACGUGAAGGUGGGGACUCUGGCGAGACUGCCCAGAUCAACUGGGAGGAAGGUGGGGACGACGUCAGGUCAGUAUGGCCCUUAUGCCCAGGGCUGCACACGUACUACAAUGCCCAGUACAGAGGGGGCCGAAGCCGCGAGGCGGAGGAAAUCCUGAAAACUGGGCCCAGUUCGGACUGUAGGCUGCAACCCGCCUACACGAAGCCGGAAUCGCUAGUAAUGGCGCAUCAGCUACGGCGCCGUGAAUACGAUCCCGGGUCUUGUACUCACCGCCCGUCA